rnacentral:misc_RNA from 1 species
GCGCCGCCGUGACGUUUCGCCCGCACGUGACGUCACCGAUCGGUCUUCCGUUUACCUUACGUCCCCGUCGAACGGUUUAAAUGCCCCAAUCUUUCUCAUGGUUCCCAACUCGAUAGGUAGGCAGGUCGUAGGCAUAGGUCCCGAUAGGUCCCCGUAGGUCCAGGUUUGAUUCUGAGCCAUAGCCGCCCGGCUUCUUUGCAGGAUUUUCCGCUGCCGCCGUCGAUUCGUACGGGCGUCGUUUCCGCUCCCGCGGAUCUGUUUUCGUUUUCCGUCCGUCGCGUCCGAUUUUCGCCGCCGCCGUGUCUUAUCGACGGGAGUGUGUUGAUCCCGCUCGCGGUGUUUUCUUUUCUAUUCAUUUUCCGCCGUCCGUCAAGUCCGUUUUUUUCUUUUCGUUUCAAACUUUUUUUUUGUGAAAUCGUUUUCAUCGCUUCAAUCGUAUUAUUUAAUACAUGUUAUUACAUAUUCGAUUUGUUUUACCGAAAAUUAUUUAUCCGUUUUUCUUUACUCAUGUUGAUUUGAUGUGUAACGUUAUUGUUGAACGCUUACACACGGCUGUGAAACGAAGAAAACAUAAUGCGUUUAAAAUAUAGUUUGUUUUUUUAUCAGCGUUAAGAAUUGAAUUCAAAGGGUCUUCGGUGCUAACGAUACUGUUCAAAACGUUCACAGCUAUAAAACAACGAGUACUCGUUAUGAGUGUUACAACAUCAGUCGUUACACUUGGACGAAAGGAAAUUAAAACUUUUGUGAUGUAAUGUAAAUAAGAAAACCCGAUUGAUUUGAUGUGAAAUGCUGUAAUGAUAUUAUAAAAUGCACACACAGCUAUAAAAUAAUGAAGUAAACAUGGGAGAUGUCUGUUGUAUGUUUUCAUUAAACAUUUUCUUUGUUAAGGAAUAAUGCAGUUACUACUUCGGUACUAAUGAUUAACUAAUAAAAACAAACACAACUAUAAACUAAAGAAAACAUGGGAGAGAGCUGUUGAAUGUUUUCGUUGCACUUUAUUCUUUGGAAUGGAAUAGAAUUCAACGUGUUAUUGGUGCUAAUGAUAAUAUUCAAAUCAAACCCAGCUAUAAAAUAAAGAAAACUUGGUAUGUAUUUAUACAAUAUUUAACGCUCAAGUUCCUCUAUGAUAUAAAUGUCUUUGUAAAAUAUCUUAAACUAUAUAUUGUUUAUUUUGCUCAUAGUGGGUUGCAGAUUAAUGAAUUAACGAAUGCUCAAACACCAGUGUAGUACUGUUGUACCCAAGAGCUUGGUUAUUAUUACACUUUUCUCCUAAUAUUAUAAGAAAAAUCUUGGUAUAGUUUAUUUAUUUAAACCGUAUCAUACUGAUAUGACUUUAUAUAAUGAU